rnacentral:misc_RNA from 1 species
UUUCCGUAGGUGAACCUGCGGAAGGAUCAUUAUUGUAUAACCGAGGUGCGAGGGCUGUCGCUGACCCGAAAGGUCGUGCGCGCCCGAGUGUGUCCCCUUGCAUAAUAAUCCAUCUCACCCUUUGUGCAUCACCGCGUGGGCACCCUUCGGGAUCAUCUCGGAGGGGGGCUCGCGUUUUCACACAAACCCCCCUUUUAAAAGUGUAGAAUGACCACAUUUAUGCAAUCAAUACAACUUUCAACAACGGAUCUCUUGGCUCUC